GUACACACCGAUCCAACUACUUUAGGGGGAUUACCUGUUAAGUAUCUUUAUACUUAACAGGUAAUCCCCCUAAAGUAGUUGGAUCGGUUACUUU